GUUGGGUAGGGGAGCGUUCUGUAAGCCUGUGAAGGUGUGUCGUGAGGCAUGCUGGAGGUAUCAGAAGUGCGAAUGCUGACAUAAGUAACGAUAAAGCGGGUGAAAAGCCCGCUCGCCGGAAGACCAAGGGUUCCUGUCCAACGUUAAUCGGGGCAGGGUGAGUCGACCCCUAAGGCGAGGCCGAAAGGCGUAGUCGAUGGGAAACGGGUUAAUAUUCCCGUACUUGGUGUUACUGCGAAGGGGGGACGGAGAAGGCUAUGUUGGCCGGGCGACGGUUGUCCCGGUUUAAGCGUGUAGGUGUGUGUUCCAGGUAAAUCCGGUUCACUUUAACACUGAGGCGUGACGACGAGGCACUACGGUGCUGAAGCAACAAAUGCCCUGCUUCCAGGAAAAGCCUCUAAGCAUCAGGUAACAUCAAAUCGUACCCCAAACCGACACAGGUGGUCAGGUAGAGAAUACCAAGGCGCUUGAGAGAACUCGGGUGAAGGAACUAGGCAAAAUGGUGCCGUAACUUCGGGAGAAGGCACGCUGACACGUAGGUGAAGUGAUUUACUCAUGGAGCUGAAGUCAGUCGAAGAUACCAGCUGGCUGCAACUGUUUAUUAAAAACACAGCACUGUGCAAACACGAAAGUGGACGUAUACGGUGUGACGCCUGCCCGGUGCCGGAAGGUUAAUUGAUGGGGUCAGCGCAAGCGAAGCUCCUGAUCGAAGCCCCGGUAAACGGCGGCCGUAACUAUAACGGUCCUAAGGUAGCGAAAUUCCUUGUCGGGUAAGUUCCGACCUGCACGAAUGGCGUAAUGAUGGCCAGGCUGUCUCCACCCGAGACUCAGUGAAAUUGAACUCGCUGUGAAGAUGCAGUGUACCCGCGGCAAGACGGAAAGACCCCGUGAACCUUUACUAUAGCUUGACACUGAACAUUGAGCCUUGAUGUGUAGGAUAGGUGGGAGGCUUUGAAGUGUGGACGCCAGUCUGCAUGGAGCCGACCUUGAAAUACCACCCUUUAAUGUUUGAUGUUCUAACGUGGACCCGUAAUCCGGGUUGCGGACAGUGUCUGGUGGGUAGUUUGACUGGGGCGGUCUCCUCCUAAAGAGUAACGGAGGAGCACGAAGGUUGGCUAAUCCUGGUCGGACAUCAGGAGGUUAGUGCAAUGGCAUAAGCCAGCUUGACUGCGAGCGUGACGGCGCGAGCAGGUGCGAAAGCAGGUCAUAGUGAUCCGGUGGUUCUGAAUGGAAGGGCCAUCGCUCAACGGAUAAAAGGUACUCCGGGGAUAACAGGCUGAUACCGCCCAAGAGUUCAUAUCGACGGCGGUGUUUGGCACCUCGAUGUCGGCUCAUCACAUCCUGGGGCUGAAGUAGGUCCCAAGGGUAUGGCUGUUCGCCAUUUAAAGUGGUACGCGAGCUGGGUUUAGAACGUCGUGAGACAGUUCGGUCCCUAUCUGCCGUGGGCGCUGGAGAACUGAGGGGGGCUGCUCCUAGUACGAGAGGACCGGAGUGGACGCAUCACUGGUGUUCGGGUUGUCAUGCCAAUGGCACUGCCCGGUAGCUAAAUGCGGAAGAGAUAAGUGCUGAAAGCAUCUAAGCACGAAACUUGCCCCGAGAUGAGUUCU
rnacentral:rRNA from 2 species